GGAGUGGAGCCUGCGGCUUAAUUUGACUCAACACGGGGAACCUCACCCGGCCCGAACACUGUUAUGACAGACAGGUUGAGAGCUCUUUCUCGAUUCAGUGGUUMGGUGGUGCAUGGCCGUUCUUAGUUCGUGGAGCGAUCUGUCUGGUUAAUUCCGAUAACGAACGAGACUCUUGCCUGCUAAAUAGACGGCGCCGACCUCGUCGGCGACCGUUUGCUUCUUAGAGGGACAAGCGGCUUUUAGCCGCGUGAAGCCGAGAGCAAUAACAGGUCAGUGAUGCCCUCAGAUGUUCGGGGCCGCACGCGCGCUACACUGUUUGCAUCAGCGUGUUUCUCCCGCGCCGGCUGGCGUGGGCAACCCGUUGAACCGCAAACGUGCUAGGGAUCGGAGAUUGCAAUUGUUCUCCGUGAACGAGGAAUUCCUUGUACUGGCGAGUCAUCAGCUCGCGGGGAAUCUGUCCCUGCCCUUUGUACACACCGCCCGUCGCUACUACCGAUUGAGUGGUUUAGUGAGGCUCACGGACUGCGCGCGGCACACGGCGUCCUCGGGCGUCGCGUCGCGAGGCGGAAAGUGAGACGAACUUGAUCACUUCUAGGAAGUAAA
rnacentral:rRNA from 1 species